rnacentral:sRNA from 1 species
AUAUCUCUCCGUACGGGAAGGAUGAGAAGCUUCGACUAAGGUUCGAUUCGAGCGCAGCGAGAAAGCGUUGCCGCAGGCAA